GACGAACGCUGGCGGCGUGCCUAAUACAUGCAAGUUGAGCGAUGAAGAUUGGUGCUUGCACCAAUUUGAAGAGCAGCGAACGGGUGAGUAACGCGUGGGGAAUCUGCCUUUGAGCGGGGGACAACAUUUGGAAACGAAUGCUAAUACCGCAUAAUAACUUUAAACAUAAGUUUUAAGUUUGAAAGAUGCAAUUGCAUCACUCAAAGAUGAUCCCGCGUUGUAUUGGCUAGUUGGUGAGGUAAAGGCUCACCAAGGCGAUGAUACAUAGCCGACCUGAGAGGGUGAUCGGCCACAUUGGGACUGGGACACGGCCCAAACUCCUACGGGAGGCAGCAGUAGGGAAUCUUCGGCAAUGGACGAAAGUCUGACCGAGCAACGCCGCGUGAGUGAAGAAGGGUUUCGGAUCGUAAAACUCUGUUGGUAGAGAAGAACGUUGGUGAGAGUGGAAAGCUCAUCAAGUGACGGUAACUACCCAGAAAGGGACGGCUAACUACGUG
rnacentral:rRNA from 1 species